UACGGAGGGUGCGAGCGUUAAUCGGAAUUACUGGGCGUAAAGCGCAUGCAGGUGGUUGAUUAAGUCAGAUGUGAAAGCCCCGGGGGCUUAACCUCGGAAUCGCAUUUUGAAACUGGUCAGCUAGAGUACUGUAGAGGGGGGGUAGAAUUUCAGGUGUAGCGGUGAAAUGCGUAGAGAUCUGAAGGAAUACCGGUGGCGAAGGCGGCCCCCUGGACAGAUACUGACACUCAGAUGCGAAAGCGUGGGGAGCAAACAGG
rnacentral:rRNA from 1 species